rnacentral:tRNA from 1 species
UGCAUCGGCCGGGAAUCGAACCGAACGCGCCGCCCGCGUGGCAGGCGAGCAUUCUACCACUGAACCACCGAUGC